CAAUAGCGUAUAUUAAAGUUGUUGCGGUUAAAAAGCUCGUAGUUGGAUUUCUGGCAGGAGCGACCGGUCGCACGCUAUGCGUGUGAACUUGUGUUGUCUCUGGCCAUCCUUGGGGAGAUCCCGUUUGGCAUUAAGUUGUCGGGCCGGGGAUACCCAUCGUUUACUGUGAAAAAUUAGAGUGUUUAAAGCAGGCUUAUGCCGUUGAAUAUAUUAGCAUGGAAUAAUAAGAUAGGACUUUGGAACUAUUUUGUUGGUUUGCGUUACAAAGUAAUGAUUAAUAGGGAUAGUUGGGGGCAUUAGUAUUUAAUUGUCAGAGGUGGAAUUCUCAGAUUUGUUAAAGACUAACUUAUGCGAAAGCAUUUGCCAAGGAUGUUUUCAUUAAUCAAGAACGAAAGUUAGGGGAUCAAAGACGAUUAGAUACCAU
rnacentral:rRNA from 1 species